GAUGCCACCAACAUCAGGAAAAGUGUUAUUGGCGAGCGGAACUUCCACUUCCAGAAGCAGAGAGUGGCAACGCAGUUUCCGGUCGCAUUGUAGUUUUUCAUUGUUGCACUUGGGGGCAACUGCAGUCAAGUUUUCGAGAAACUUUUGUUUGUAAAUUUUUAAUGAAAAUCGUUCACUAUUAUCGCCUGCUUUCUUUCGGAGUGAAAAAGUUUCCCAAGAAUGAUAGAACUUUUACCCUCCUGUUUGGGAUGAAAAAUGAAUAUUCCUGUUUACAGUUGUCAACGUAAUGCCUUCACGCUACAUUAAACGGGAUUUUAUCGAAUGUAUUCGGUAGAGAAGGGAAAAUUUGCUGACUCCAUAUCAGACGGGGAAAUUUAUUAAUAUUUCCUCAAACAUUGAACCUGGUCGGUGAAGGAAAGGAAAAAAAGUGCUGACGGUUACAGGGAAUAAAUAUCUUCCGAAUCAGACAGCAUCUGGCAGCAUCCGGGCAAAGUAGCAGCAGCAGCAGCAGCAGCAGCAGCAGCGACUCCUUUUUCAAACGGCAGAAUUUGAACUUCACUGUCAUCCUUUCAAAUAUCCCAUUAAACUUUGAUCAACACCAAGGAACUCACCCACUUUCAGCUUAAUUAGUUUGAACUUUCUCGCAGCCCUAGCCAUAAAUAAUUCAUCCCUUCGAGCGGCAAACACAUUGGAAAGUUGAGCUACAGCACAAGAAAGUGAAACUUACUCCAUGCGUGCGAGAAAUGUCCCGGCAACCCCCCCUGGUCCCGAGUAUCCGAGACUGACCCGAGUUUUCCGAUAGGAUCUCCAGCCGAAUACAACAGGAAAGUUCGAGGCUUGAAGGAAACUUUGCGGUAAUUAAUAUUAGUAAGGAAAGUGAAUUUACCGCAUCAGGAAAUCAAUUAAUGCGUAAACUCUUUCCUUUGGCGAGUUGUCGGAAUGUUGGUAAAGUCUUUGAUAAUAAUUUAUUGCAUUGAGUUCGUUAGAUGAUAAAUGCUCCAAAAUACAUGUGUUGGAAAAAAAUGGGAUGCUUUAAUAAAUUUCAUGUUUUAAUCAAUUAUUUCAGGUUUUUAACCACUGCCUAUUAUUUUUCGA